rnacentral:lncRNA from 1 species
CUUCCUUCCCCCUUUCCUCUAACUGCUCUUUUGUCUUCAGGAAGGUACAAGUCAGGAAUUUCGAUUUCUGGAGCUCCUCAAGUGGAGUCGAUUUCUGGAGUGCCCAACCCUGCAAGGUCCUUGCUGGUCAUUAGCACCUUACAAAGUAUUCCUGUCAUCACCAGCUAGGCUCUUAUGUGAGCUCUGAGCAGGGGGAGUUCCUGGCACUGGUCUCUAAGCUUUUAAACAAUCAUUCACGGUUAUUUGAAGAGAUACUGAAAAUUACAGUUUAGGCCUUUCUGAAAAAAUCUUUUCCUUCCUCUGAGGUAGACAAAAUUCAUUGUCAUUUACAGAGCCUAUAUUAUGGUUUUUUUUGCUUUCUUGCAGGUUAUUGGCAGUACCUGGUGUUGCUAAGGCUGAUUUAAUUCCUAUUCCCAGAGGCAGCUUUUCCAAGGUGAUUCCUGACUUUUUUUUGCUUUCUUGCAGGUUUUUGGCAGUACCUGGUGUUGUUAAGGCUGAUUUAAUUCCUAUUACCAGAGGCAGCUUUUCCAAGGUGAUUCCUGACACAGGAGAUGAAUCCUGCUGCAGGGACGUGUUGCCUUCACUCCUCUUCCAGAAAACUCUUCUGAGACCGAUUCUCCCUCAAAGCUGUCCUGGUGAUCAUACAGCAGAAAAAUAAUUCCCCAACAGUUGGACCAGGGUAUAGUCUGAAAAUUAUGUUCUCUUACAUUAUAGAUUGAAAUAGAGAUCUUUUCCAGGCAUACAUUUUUUUUUUUUUUUUUUUUUUUUUUUUUUUUUUUUUUUUUUUUUUGUUACUGAAUCUUCUUCUUGUGAAAGAGCUUCAGAGGGAUCUUUCAGUGAAGGAGCUUUGGGACUUUCAGCUGCAGACACAAGAGUUUUCAGAGGGCUGUCAAAGAACACAUGGCUUCAAAGCAUAAGGAUGAGUGGGAAGUGGGAGAAAAAAGGCUGCAUUUUAUGACUGUUCAAGCAAACUAAAACUGCCUCUUGACCUCCUUGCUCCAGCACUGCUUUGUGAUUCCUACAGGUUUCAAGCCCUUACCUGAAAAGGCAGUUUUUUGAAACACAAGCAAAGCCAUUCUGCAUUUUCAACCCCCUGUACAAAUUUAGUGGAUAACAAUGAAAACAAGCCACUCCUGUAUAGUAAGAAACUAGUUGUACAAAUUAGAUUAAAAAUGGGUGAUUAGUCACUUCUUUGAUUCACUACAAAUAAAAAAAAAAAAAAAAUUAAAAAAAAAAAAAGACAUGGACAGGCAGAUGUGUUCUUCACCAGAACUAAAGUAAAAAUUUUAAACUUUUUUUUUAAUACAGGAAAUUUUUGGUUGAAUGGAACAUUUCAGGCAUGUUAGAUCCAAACUAAACAAAGGAUGAAUGCCAAAGGGUAGGGAU